rnacentral:rRNA from 1 species
AUUGAACGCUGGCGGCAUGCCUUACACAUGCAAGUCGAACGGCAGCACGGGUGCUUGCACCUGGUGGCGAGUGGCGAACGGGUGAGUAAUACAUCGGAACGUACCUUAUCGUGGGGGAUAACGCAGCGAAAGUUGCGCUAAUACCGCAUACGCCCUGAGGGGGAAAGCGGGGGACCGUAAGGCCUCGCGCGAUUAGAGCGGCCGAUGUCUGAUUAGCUUGUUGGUGAGGUAAAAGCUCACCAAGGCGAUGAUCAGUAGCUGGUCUGAGAGGAUGAUCAGCCACACUGGGACUGGGACACGGCCCAGACUCCUACGGGAGGCAGCAGUGGGGAAUUUUGGACAAUGGGCGCAAGCCUGAUCCAGCAAUGCCGCGUGCAGGAAGAAGGCCUUCGGGUUGUAAACUGCUUUUGUACGGAACGAAACGGUCCUGGUUAAUACCUGGGGCUAAUGACGGUACCGUAAGAAUAAGCACCGGCUAACUACGUGCCAGCAGCCGCCGUAA